GGCUGUCGUCAGCUCGUGUCGUGAGAUGUUGGGUAUCAGUCCCGCAACGAGCGCAACCCUCAUCCUUAGUUGCCAUCAUUAAGUUGGGCACUUUAAGGAAACUGCCGGUGAUAAGCCGGAGGAAGGUGGGGAUGACGUCAAGUCCUCAUGGCCCUUACAAGCUGGGCUACACACGUGCUACAAUGGCGAAGACAGUGGGCAGCUACUUCGCAAGAAGAUGCUAAUCUCUAAAAACCGUCUCAGUUCGGAUUGUUCUCUGCAACUCGAGAGCAUGAAGGCGGAAUCGCUAGUAAUCGCGGAUCAGCAUGCCGCGGUGAAUACGUUCCCAGG
rnacentral:rRNA from 1 species